GGCCUGAUGGUCUAGUAGUAUGAUUCCUUGUUAGGGUUAUCCUAAAUUCGAGGAGGUCCCGGGUUCAAUUCCCGGUCAGGCCC